rnacentral:rRNA from 1 species
UGGCGGACGGGUGAGUAACGCGUGGGUAACCUGCCCCAUACAGGGGGAUAACAGAUAGAAAUGUCUGCUAAUACCGCAUAAGACCACAGCACCGCAUGGUGCAGGGGCAAAAACUCCGGUGGUAUGGGAUGGACCCGCGUCUGAUUAGCUGGUUGGCGGGGUAACGGCCCACCAAGGCAACGAUCAGUAGCCGACCUGAGAGGGUGACCGGCCACAUUGGGACUGAGACACGGCCCAAACUCCUACGGAAGGCAGCAG